AACCAGUCAGUCCGGCAGGUUUGCCUUUUAACUCCCUACAACCACAGACUCACCAAAUAGGUGACAGGACUGAGCAAGCCUGGCAGACAUUCAGAGAGAAGGGGUGCCAAAAUGCAUUUAGUCUUGGCGUGGGCGUGACACAAAUGCACUUCUGCUGAACUGACCCUGUGUGGGCGCUUGCUGGGCUCGCUGCUGUUUGUGUCAUCUGUCUCGGGCCGGGCCGUGUCUGGAGCUCUGGGAACAGUGCCUUACCAGUGUCUCUUCAAGAAAGGAAAAGGCAAGACCAAGCUGGAUGGGGAAAAGAUGGCAUUUGUAAUCCAAGCAGGGUGGUGAGAGAAGAGAGCCUGCUCAGGGUUUAUGUCUUUCUGCUGCUCUACCCGUAAGCCUGGAGAGGGAGCUGAGCAAGAGAAGGGACAAAGGUGAGGCAGGGGCCUUUCAGAAAGACUCUGUAAAGAGCUGAUGGAGAAGCAGCUGCUCUCUGGAGGCUUCUUACUGCUAAUGUUCCAGAGAAACACCAGCAAUAAAGAGCACAAUGUUGCAAUCUGUUUUUGCA
rnacentral:lncRNA from 1 species